UACGUAGGUGGCAAGCGUUGUUCGGAAUUAUUGGGCGUAAAGCGCGUGUAGGCGGCUUUGCAAGUCGGGUGUGAAAGCCCUCAGCUUAACUGAGGAAGUGCGCCCGAAACUGCAGAGCUUGAGUACCGGAGAGGAUGGCGGAAUUCCCCAAGUAGAGGUGAAAUUCGUAGAUAUGGGGAGGAACACCGGUGGCGAAGGCGGCCAUCUGGACGGAUACUGACGCUGAGACGCGAAAGCGUGGGUAGCAAACAGG
rnacentral:rRNA from 1 species